rnacentral:rRNA from 1 species
GACGAACGCUGGCGGCGUGCUUAACACAUGCAAGUCGAACGAAGUGGCGAACGGGUGAGUAAUACGUGGGUAACCUGCCCUCCUUUUUGGGAUAAGCCUCGGAAACGGGGUCUAAUACCGACUAAAGGGGGAUGGGCUCGCGGUCUAUCGGCUUGUUGGUGGGGUGAUGGCCUACCAAGGCGGUGACGGGUAGCCGGCGUGAGAGGGUGACCGGCGACAUUGGGACGGAGAGACGGCCCAGACUACUACGGGGGGCAGCAGUGGGGGAUAUUGCACAAUGGGCGAAAGCCUGAUGCAGCGACGCCGCAUGGGGGAUGAAGGCUUUCGGGUUGUAAACCUCUUUCGCUAUCGAAAGGGUAGUUGGAGAAGAAGCGCCGGCUAACUACGUGCCAGCCGCCGCGGUAAUAC